rnacentral:rRNA from 1 species
AGCGAACGCUGGCGGCAGGCCUAACACAUGCAAGUCGAACGAACCUUUCGGGGUUAGUGGCGGACGGGUGAGUAACACGUGGGAACGUGCCUUUAGGUUCGGAAUAACUCAGGGAAACUUGUGCUAAUACCGAAUGUGCCCUUCGGGGGAAAGAUUUAUCGCCUUUAGAGCGGCCCGCGUCUGAUUAGCUAGUUGGUUGAGGUAAUGGCUCACCAAGGCGACGAUCAGUAGCUGGUCUGAGAGGAUGAUCAGCCACAUUGGGACUGAGACACGGCCCAAACUCCUACGGGAGGCAGCAGUGGGGAAUCUUGCGCAAUGGGCGAAAGCCUGACGCAGCCAUGCCGCGUGAAUGAUGAAGGUCUUAGGAUUGUAAAAUUCUUUCACCGGGGACGAUAAUGUCGGUACCCGGAGAAGAAGCCCCGGCUAACUUCGU